rnacentral:rRNA from 1 species
GAUGAACGCUGGCGGCGUGCUUAACACAUGCAAGUCGAACGAAGCACUUAAGAUUGCUUCUUCGGAUGACGUCUUUUGUGACUUAGUGGCGGACGGGUGAGUAACGCGUGGGUAACCUGCCUCACACAGGGGGAUAACAGUUAGAAAUGACUGCUAAUACCGCAUAACCCGAUAGGAUCGCAUGAUCCAGACGGAAAAGAUUUAUCGGUGUGAGAUGGACCCGCGUCUGAUUAGCUAGUUGGUGAGGUAACGGCCCACCAAGGCGACGAUCAGUAGCCGGCCUGAGAGGGUGAACGGCCACAUUGGGACUGAGACACGGCCCAAACUCCUACGGGAGGCAGCAGUAGGGAAUAUUGCACAAUGGGGGAAACCCUGAUGCAGCGACGCCGCGUGAGUGAAGAAGUAUUUCGGUAUGUAAAGCUCUAUCAGCAGGGAAGAAAAUGACGGUACCUGACUAAGAAGCCCCGGCUAACUACGUG